UACGUAGGACGCAAGCGUUGUCCGGAAUUAUUGGGCGUAAAGAGCUCGUAGGCGGCUUGUCACGUCGGGUGUGAAAGCCCGGGGCUUAACCCCGGGUCUGCAUUCGAUACGGGCAGGCUAGAGUGUGGUAGGGGAGAUCGGAAUUCCUGGUGUAGCGGUGAAAUGCGCAGAUAUCAGGAGGAACACCGGUGGCGAAGGCGGAUCUCUGGGCCAUUACUGACACUGAGAGACGAAAGCUAGGGGAGCAAAUGGG
rnacentral:rRNA from 1 species